CUACCAGGGUAUCUAAUCCUGUUCGCUCCCCACGCUUUCGCUCCUCAGCGUCAGUUACUGCCCAGAGACCCGCCUUCGCCACCGGUGUUCCUCCUGAUAUCUGCGCAUUCCACCGCUACACCAGGAAUUCCAGUCUCCCCUGCAGUACUCCAGUCUGCCCGUAUCGCCCGCACGCUCACAGUUAAGCCGUGAGUUUUCACGAACAACGCGACAAACCACCUACGAGCUCUUUACGCCCAGUAAUUCCGGACAACGCUCGCACCCUACGUAUUACCGCGGCUGCUGGCAC
rnacentral:rRNA from 1 species